UUCCGGUUGAUCCCGCCGGACCUGACUGCUAUCGGAUUGAUACUAAGCCAUGCGAGUCUUUGCAGUAAUGCAAGGCAUACGGCUCAGUAACACGUAGUCAACUUACCCUAUGGACGAGGAUAAUCUCGGGAAACUGAGCAUAAUACUCGAUAGAUCAUAAUACCUGGAAUGGUUUAUGGUUAAAAUGAUUCGUCGCCAUAGGAUGGGACUGCGGCCUAUCAGCUUGUUGGUGAGGUAAUGGCCCACCAAGGCGAUUACAGGUACGGGCUCUGAGAGGAGAAGCCCGGAGAUGGGUACUGAGACAAGGACCCAGGCCCUAUGGGGCGCAGCAGGCGAGAAAACUUUGCAAUGUGCGAAAGCACGACAAGGUUAAUCCGAGUGAUUUCUGCUAAAGAAAUCUUUUGCAAGUCAUAAAACCACUGGUGAAUAAGGGGUGGGCAAGUUCUGGUGUCAGCCGCCGCGGUAAAACCAGCACCUCAAGUGGUCAGGAGGAUUAUUGGGCCUAAAGCAUCCGUAGCCGGCUCUGUAAGUUUUCGGUUAAAUCCAUGUGCUCAACGCAUGGGCUGCCGAAAAUACUGCAUAGCUAGGGAGUGGGAGAGGUAGACGGUACUCGGUAGGAAGGGGUAAAAUCCUUUGAUCUAUCGAUGACCACCUGUGGCGAAGGCGGUCUACCAGAACACGUUCGACGGUGAGGGAUGAAGCUGGGGGAGCAAACCGGAUUAGAUACCCGGGUAGUCCCAGCUGUAAACGAUGCAGACUCGAUGAUGCAUUGGCAUAUAGCCAGUGCAGUGUCGCAGGGAAGCCGUUAAGUCUGCCGCCUGGGAAGUACGUACGCAAGUAUGAAACUUAAAGGAAUUGGCGGGGGAGCACCACAAGGGGUGAAGCCUGCGGUUCAAUUGGAUUCAACGCCGG
rnacentral:rRNA from 1 species